rnacentral:rRNA from 1 species
UACGGGGGGUGCGAGCGUUGUCCGGAAUCACUGGGCGUAAAGGGCGCGUAGGUGGUUUGAUAAGGGUGUGGUGAAAGUCCGGGGCUCAACCCCGGAUCUGCCGUGCCGACUGUCAAACUCGAGGGCUGUAGAGGCAGACGGAAUUCCGGGUGUAGCGGUGGAAUGCGUAGAGAUCCGGAAGAACACCGGUGGCGAAGGCGGCCUGCUGGGCAGUUGCUGACACUGAGGCGCGACAGCGUGGGGAGCAAACAGG